rnacentral:rRNA from 1 species
GACGAACGCUGGCGGCGUGCUUAACACAUGCAAGUCGAGCGGUAAGGCCUUUCGGGGGUACACGAGCGGCGAACGGGUGAGUAACACGUGGGUGACCUGCCCUCCACUUCGGGAUAAGCCUGGGAAACUGGGUCUAAUACGGGAUGGGACCAUUCCAUGCAUGUGGGGUGGUGGAAAGUCGGUGCUGUUGUGGUGCUGGCGGUGGGGGAUGGGCCCGCGGUCUAUCAGCUUGUUGGUGGGGGAUGGCUUACCAAGGCGACGACGGAUAGCCGGCCUGAGAGGGUGGAUCGGCCACAC